rnacentral:tRNA from 14 species
GCUUGUAGCUCAGUGGACUAGAGCACGUGGCUACGAACCACGGUGUCAGGGGUUCGAAUC